AGCAUAUUGGUCUUGCAUCUAGAAAAUGUUAUUGAUUUAGAGAUUGGGCUUGUAAUAGUAUGACCAGUCAUUUAUUAGUACUGAGCCAAUUAACCAAUAUAGAGAUAAAACCUUUGUAUAUCCUAAAUCAUAAACUACAUGGCCAUGUUCCUUGCUCAUAUAAAAAUUCUUUCUUUUGUCAUCCAAUCCAAUAUCAGUAUUCAUUCUAAGUACUAAAGGUUAAUGGCAUAUACCACAAGAGAGCCUGCAGGACACUUUGCCAUCUGUUCUCGUCCAACCCCUAGAAUUAUCCUCCAAACAUUUUUAUUUUAGUAACCACAUGCAUAAAACUAUUCCAUGAGAACAAAUUCUCAAUAUUACUGGAAUUGGAGGUGAAAAUUGAAUUGUCAAUUGAUGAUAAUCAAAAUAAGUAUUAUAAACAAUUGAAUUUUUCACCCUUUUUUUGUCACGUUGGUAUUAUGAUUGUAAAAUCUUAGGGCAAAAAAAAAAAAUAUAUUUGUAUA
rnacentral:misc_RNA from 1 species